ACGGUCCGCAAAUGGUCCGCUGCA
rnacentral:siRNA from 1 species